rnacentral:rRNA from 1 species
UGGGGAAUCUUGCACAAUGGGGGCAACCCUGAUGCAGCGACGCCGCGUGAGCGAUGAAGGCCUUCGGGGCGUAAAGCUCUUUCGACCGGAACGAUAAUGACGGUACCGGGAGAAGAAGCUGCGGCUAACUACGUGCCAGCAGCCGCGGUAAUACGUAGGCAGCAAGCGUUGUUCGGAGUUACUGGGCGUAAAGAGUGCGUAGGCGGUUUUCUAAGUUCGGUGUGAAAUCUCCCGGCUUAACUGGGAGGGUGCGCCGAAGACUGGGAAGCUGGAGUGUGGGAAAGGCAGGCGGAAUUCCUGGUGUAGCGGUGAAAUGCGUAGAUAUCAGGAGGAACACCGGCGGUGUAGACGGCUUGCUAGACCAUAACUGACGCUGAGGCACGAAAGCGUGGGUAGCAAACA